GGAUGAACGCUGGCGGUAUGCUUACCACAUGCAAGUCGAACGGUACCUUCGGGUAUAGUGGCGGACGGGUGAGUAACGCGUGAGAAUCUAUCUUCAGGUCGGGGACAACAGUUAGAAAUGACUGCUAAUACCGGAUGUGCCGAAAGGUAAAAGAUUUAUUGCCUGAAAAAGAGCUCGCGUCAGAUUAGCUAGUAGGUGGUGUAAGAGACUACCUAGGCUUCGAUCUGUAGCUGGUCUGAGAGGACGAUCAGCCACACUGGAACUGAGACACGGUCCUGACUCCUACGGGAGGCAGCAGUGGGGAAUUUUCCGCAAUGGGCGAAAGCCUGACGGAGCAAUACCGCGUGAGGGACGAAGGCUCUUGGGUCGUAAACCUCUUUUCUCAAGGAAGAUUCAGACGGUACUUGAGGAAUAAGCAUCGGCUAACUCUGUG
rnacentral:rRNA from 1 species